rnacentral:rRNA from 1 species
UGUGGCAGCCAUAGAGAAGAUGAAACACUUGAUACCACAUUCCGAACUCAUAAGUGAAAAGCUUCAUCGCCGAUGGUACUUUGUCUUAAGGCAUGGGAAAGUAGGUCGUUGCCAUUC